rnacentral:snRNA from 1 species
GAAUAUGAGGGUGAUCUGGCUGUGACAUCUGUCACCCUAUUGAUCCCCAGGGUGGAUUUGGCUGAUCUGGUUGGCUAGGCAGGUGUCCCGCCUUCCCUCACCACUCCAUGCUCAUCCCUUCCAAAGCUGCCCGGUCAGAGGAGACGACCACCCCAAUAAGUAGGACCACUCCCUGCUAGAACCUCCAAAAAAGCUCUAAAGAACAAAUAUUUUGAAGACAAUGAACUGAGAAUUGAGUCCCCACAUAUGGUACUAUAUCUGUGAUCUUGGACCUAUA